UACGUAGGGGGCAAGCGUUGUCCGGAAUCAUUGGGCGUAAAGAGCGUGUAGGCGGUUCGGUAAGUCGGGUGUGAAAGUCCAGGGCUCAACCCUGGGAUGCCGGUCGAUACUGCCGGACUAGAGUUCGGAAGAGGCGAGUGGAAUUCCCGGUGUAGCGGUGAAAUGCGCAGAUAUCGGGAGGAACACCUAUGGCGAAGGCAGCUCGCUGGGACGUUACUGACGCUGAGACGCGAAAGCGUGGGGAGCAAACAGG
rnacentral:rRNA from 1 species